rnacentral:rRNA from 1 species
GUGCCAGACUCCUACGGGAGGCAGCAGUGGGGAAUAUUGCACAAUGGGGGAAACCCUGAUGCAGCGACGCCGCGUGAGCGAUGAAGUAUUUCGGUAUGUAAAGCUCUAUCAGCAGGGAAGAAAAUGACGGUACCUGAAGAAGAAGCCCCGGCUAACUACGUGCCAGCAGCCGCGGUAAUACGUAGGGGGCAAGCGUUAUCCGGAUUUACUGGGUGUAAAGGGGGCGCAGACGGCGAUGCAAGCCAGGAGUGAAAGCCCGGGGCCCAACCCCGGGACUGCUCUUGGAACUGCGUGGCUGGAGUGCAGGAGGGGCAGGCGGAAUUCCUGGUGUAGCGGUGAAAUGCGUAGAUAUCAGGAGGAACACCGGUGGCGAAGGCGGCCUGCUGGACUGCAACUGACGUUGAGGCCCGAAAGCGUGGGGAGCAAACAGGAUUAGAUACCCCCGUAGC